UUUGUGUUUUCGUUACAUCGCAGAGCAGUUUGGAUACCAUCCUCGACACGGCUAGUGCAACCAGAAGUACAACCAGUUGAAGUAAUAAAGCUUGGUGGCCACAUUUAUCCGACCCAACAGGUGUACCGCUGAAAGUGGAAGACAUGAGUUUUGCGAGUAAACUUUCACUGGUGGUUCUGCUGCUGGCGGUUUCGUUUAUAAUGAUAGCAUCGUGCCAUCUCAACUGUACAACUUACAACAGCACCUCUGUACUGUGUACUGCAAUUAACGGAACGUUUGGGCCCAGAGGAGGUCCCCAUGGAGAACGUAGACGUCCAAUGAUGAUUCCAGGAUCGGUUGACUUGACGAACGCUGAACCAGGUCCGGUCUAGGAGUUUGAUUUUUCCCAGAAUUAGCUUUCUGCGGAAUGAGUAAUUGAGCAUUGAUUACUGCUUCGAUAAUUCUGAUGAAUAAAUUUGAAAAAUAAA